AAUAAAUAAAUGUUAAAAAAAAAAAAAAGUUCGUUUCUGCCCCAAGAUGACUGAUACCCCUGCCUUUUCUUUCCUUACUGAACGCGCUGUACGUCCGCCUGUCACACCUGGGGUUUUCUCUGUCCAAAGUGCACCUGUGCGAAGACUUGAUUUUUUUCCCCACCUGGUGAGUCAGUUUUCCAAGUGCAUCCGUGGAAAUGCACAUCUUCUCUGCAGCGCGAAAGCUGGCCUGGGCCGGGCCUCUCUGAGCCUGUUUCCGGACGUGCUGUCUCUCAAACCCAACUUGUCCCCAGCACAGCUCUCCUUCCGUCCGGCUGUCUCGCUCCCACAGGGACGCAGCUCCCGGGAAAGUCUGGUGAGUUCUUGCUUAGGCCGACUCUGGGUCUCCCAGGACGUUCUGCUGCCGGUGUGAGCAGCAUCAUAUGCUCUCUACUACUUUUUCUCACUGAUUCCUGCUGGUCCGUGUGUGAGUUGGUCUCUUUUUAAAAAAUGUUUUUUCUAAUUUUUUUUAUUUUUGAGAAAGAGAGAGAAAGACCGAGCAUGAACGGGGGAGGGACAGAGAGAGAGGGAGACACAGAAUCCGAAGCAGGCUCCAGGCUCCGAGCUGUCAGCACAGAGCCCGACACGAGGCUCAAACUCACAAAUGGCGAGAUCAUGACCUGAGCCGGAGUCGAAUGCUCAACCGACCGAGCCCCCCAGGUGCCCCAAGAAUUUUAUUUAUUUUUAAAAAUUUUUUAAUGGUUUUUUUUUUCUUUUGAGAGAGAGUGAGAGAGAGAGAGACAGAGCACAGGUUGGGGCGGGGCAGAGAGAGAAGGAGACACAGAAUCCGAAGCAGGCUCCAGGCUCCGAGCUGUGAGCACAGAGCCCAACGCGGGACUUGAACCCACGAACCGUGAGAUCGUGACCUGAGCCAAAGUCGGCCACUCAACCGACUGAGCCCCCCAGGUGUCCCAGGAGGCAGGACCGCCCAGGGCCAACUACCAGCGGCGGGCGCGAGUGUCCCUGAUCACGGGGAGGACACCCCCAAACCCCGUCACAGGGACCCUGCUGGCGGUAUUGUAAAGACCGCCUUCAUCAGGCUGAGAAAGCUUCUUGUGCUCUGGUCUUCGGAGUCUCUAGAAAGACGGAUGAUUAACUAGGAUCUGCAUCGCCUCGCGGAAUUAUCGCCCAUCUCUCGUGGUGACGACAAUCAGCGCCCCGUCUCUUAGCAGCUGUGAAGCGUGGGAUGCAGUGCUGACGGUAAUCGCCGUGCUGUGCACAUUGUACCUCUUUCUGAGGCGCGUCGAGGUACCUCGCGACUCUCAGCUCACUUGCCCCUGAAUUCUCCAGCACGACAUUCUGCCUGGUCCUUGUCGUUUCCCUUUUGAGAUGAAAUGUACGUACAACGCCCUUGCCGAACGCACACGCCUGUGUGGCCCAAACCCCGACGGCGGUGCAGGACGGUCACCCCGGGGAGCUUCCUCGUGCUGCUCCCCAGCCCCCCGCCUCCCCAGAGGUCAGCGUAGCUCUGAUUUUCUUCCCCACCGUGAGCUGGCUUUGCCUGUGCUAGAGGCUCGCGGAAACUGAACACAGCGCGUACCCUCUGCGUCUGGCUUCUUUCAAAGAGAAGUCGGGUGUUGGGAUUGGCUGUGGUGUUGAGCGGCUGGCGGUCCGUCUGGUGUUAUUACCGAGUAAUAUUCCGUCCAGCCUGCUAAAUCCAUCCUCCCGCUAAGGGACUCGUGGGAUGUUGCCACUUCUGGGAUGUUACGGAUCGAAUUCUCAUACAAGCCAUUUUGUGGACAUGUGUUUUCACUUGUCUUGGGUAAACAACUUGAGGCGGGCUCCUGGGUCGGGGGGCAACUGCGUGUUUCGAUGUAUAAGCUACGGCCAGAUCUCUACCACGCAUGCCCCGUCACCACCGCUCUGGGUAGUUCCACGUUCUUGUCAAAUUUGAAGUUACCGUCUUUUCAACUUCAGCCGUUCUGGUGAGUGUGUACUUUUUAAAUUAUCAUUCUAGAGGGACACAGAGACAGCGUGAGUGGGGGAGAGGUGCAGAGAGAGAGGGAGAGAGAGAGAAUCCCAGGCAGGCUCUGCACUGUCAGUGUGGAGCUCGACUCGGGGCUCGAACCCAUGAACCCGCGAGAUCAUGAUCUGAGCUGAAACCAAGAGUCAGAUGCUCAAUCACCAAUCCCCCGCCCCAGGCGCCCCGUGAAUGUGUAUUCUAAAACAUGCUGUGGGAUCCCGUUAGUUAAUAUUUCAUUCGAGAUUCUCCUACCUGUGUUAUAAGGAACAUUGACCUCGUUUUUAAGGAACAAGCCCUUAUCCAGCUUUGGAACAAGAAGGACACCAGUGUCUUGAAAUGAAACAUAAUGUUUUGCCUCUAUUAUUAUUUUCUGGAAAAGCUUGCUUAAGAUACGGACUUUCUGUCCCGGAGAGGGGCUGUAAACUGCUUUGGCAUAAGGCUCUUCUCCUGAGAAAGCUGCAAAAACCCCGUUUCCCAUUUUACAUCUAUUUGCGCUUUUAUUGUUUCUUGGGCCAGGCUUGGCACUUUGUAUUUUCCCAGAAAUAUGCCCAUUUUAUCUCAAAGUCUUCCUUAAAUACCUUUUUCUCAUACCUCAGCUGGGCAUAAAGAGAGACCUGGGGGCCCGCGGGGCAGAGGAUCAGAGGGCUGCUCCCGGAGGCCAGAGUGGUGCAGCGAAGGGCGGGAGGCUUCCUGGAGGAGGUGAGUCCUGGCUUGGGCUCUGAGCUCCAGGAUCAGCCACCCUCCAGACACUACUCCCUCUUCCCAACCUUGGAGGACCUGAUGUGACGUCCGAAGGGCUGAGCUUCCCCUCCGGGGAAGCCGGAAGGACGUCUGCACUUAGAAGCUCUGGGUCUGUAGGGACUUUUGGAGGCUCCUCAGGGCCCUCCCCUGGGGAAU